rnacentral:lncRNA from 1 species
ACACUCAGGGAGUGCACCAUGUGAAGACUGGACUUAAACAGCUACACCACCAGAAGCCGAGAGAGAGGCUGGAACAUAGCCUUCCCUUUGGAGCCCUAGCAGAUGCUAAUCCAGCGUGCGUCCUGGCAGAGGUUGAAGGGGGCUCCUCAAGUCCCAGGUCCAGCUUGGUGUGGUUCAGCUACUCGAGAGACAUCUGCUGCUAAUGGAUGAGCAGUCAACCUGGACGCAGGAAAUCAUUUUUUAUUUGGUCCUGGAGGCUGGAAGUGCAAAAGGAAGGUGUCGGCAAGAUCGUUUUUUUCUGAGAGCUCUCUCCUUGGCUUGCAGAUGGCAGCUUGCUCCUGGCACAGUCUUUUCUCUACUCACGCCCAAAGUUACGGAGGACCCAGCAACCAUCUCCUGCAGCCCCUGAAAACCUCUUGACUCUUCUGUGAUGUCCCCAGUGAUCCAGCAGCCCCGGCCUUCUUUUGAUGGCUUGAACAUUUGGUCUUCAUUGAACAGUUUGUAUAUUGGAAACUUGCCAGCCUCCAUCCACAUUCCAACCUCCGUCUGCAUCCCUCGGUACAAAAUGGUUCAAUCUGUCUACCUCCUUUCACAUUCCACCAAGAUAUUCCAAGGUCCAGGGUUCCUUUGACCACCUCACACCUAACAAGUUCCCUCACUGUCUCUCACUCUCCCCUGAAGAUUCUAAGCUGCCUCUGUCCUGCUAA